AUUGAACGCUGGCGGCAUGCCUUACACAUGCAAGUCGAACGGCAGCACGGGUGCUUGCACCUGGUGGCGAGCGGCGAACGGGUGAGUAAUACAUCGGAACAUGUCCUGUAGUGGGGGAUAGCCCGGCGAAAGCCGGAUUAAUACCGCAUACGAUCUACGGCUGAAAGCGGGGGACCUUCGGGCCUCGCGCUAUCGGGUUGGCCGAUGGCUGAUUAGCUAGUUGGUGGGGUAAAGGCCUACCAAGGCGACGAUCAGUAGCUGGUCUGAGAGGACGACCAGCCACACUGGGACUGAGACACGGCCCAGACUCCUACGGGAGGCAGCAGUGGGGAAUUUUGGACAAUGGGCGAAAGCCUGAUCCAGCAAUGCCGCGUGUGUGAAGAAGGCCUUCGGGUUGUAAAGCACUUUUGUCCGGAAAGAAAUCCUUGGCCCUAAUACGGUCGGGGGAUGACGGUACCGGAAGAAUAAGCACCGGCUAACUACGUG
rnacentral:rRNA from 1 species